rnacentral:lncRNA from 1 species
UUUGGUUCAGUUCAGAGAAUAAAACUCGAAAUUCGAAAAUAAGCGAACAACCUUUAAAAAAUAGGCGAACCGAUUGGUUCUGUUCAAUUAUAUAAAAAAAUUAUUUAACUUAAAGUAUAAAAAUUAAAAAUUAAUUUCAAUUCCUAAAUCCAACCCUAGAUCGGCACGGCAGCAAACAGCCAUGUCUGUCAAAGCUUCACGCACAACAAUCUCGCUCUCCCGCAGCCUCUCGCGGUCACGUCGACGGUCAGCCUCUCACGGUCCCGGACUCAUCACUCACGGUCUCACUCUCACGGUCAGCCUCCGCUCAUCUCGCCAGCUGUUGCAGCCUCUCUCCGUCGUCGCUGUCGCGCCGGUGAAGGUGAGCAGCCUGAGUUGAGUUCAGUUUCACUCGCCGACUCACCGUCAGUAGCAACUAGUUCAAUUUAAUUUAAUUCCAUUCAAUUUCACUUCGUUUAUUGUGUGAUUAAUUUAAUUUUUGUAAAUGAAAAAAAUGAGUUGAUCUGUUUUGUUUCUAAUUUGAGGCAUACGGGUUUGAUUUGAUUUUUUUUUUUUUUAUAUUAUGAUCUGUUUGUUUUGAUUUGAUCACGCACUGGUUGGUUUGAUUUGUGUAAUUUGCAAUUGCUAUUUGAUUGGGAAAACUGUGAAAAUCAUGCACUCACUUUCUCUGUACACACAGAUUCCAGUAAAUUAAAAGAAAAGUCUUCUGAGUCGUGUGAUUGAAUUUGAGUCGCAAUAGCUUCAAUGGGAAAUACGAGCAACUGCCUACUUCUUUUUCAUACUUUGUAUGCUGCUAGUGUCUGCCAUGGCUUCUGGAAGCAGAGUAAUUCAUCAACCAACAGAAGCAGAUGCAGAUAGGGGCGGGAGACUUGCCCUGUCAACCCGAAGUUGAGUUCAAACACUAUUCCGUACGACCCAAAAGCUUUGUUCCAUACUUUCUUUGAAGCCCCAAUAUGGAGUUUCUAACUUUUCUCUCACAUACUUAGUUUCCUGUUCCAUUCUCGUUUCGUUUCGUUGGGUUUCUAUUUUUGUCUCCGUCCUUUUUUUAUGUUUGGAAAGUUUUACAUUCAUAUUUAAAUUUUAAAAAAGCGUUUUCCAAAUUGGUACGAUAUCCAAAUUCAGUAACUGAAAUGUUGGAACCGAACCGAAAUAUUUUUCAUUUCGGUUUUGCUUUGAUUCUAAAAUUUGGUUUGGAUUGGGGUCCAUUUAUUCACAAUCGUUCAGUUUAGGUUCGGUUCUGCUGCCCAAAAACUGCAAAAACAACUCUUUAACAGAGAAUUUGGAGCUCGUGAUCACCAGCAGGAAUCACUUUCACAGUAUCCAUAAAUUCGCGGUGGUAAGAGAAUUUUUGUUGGUUUUGGUGGUGUGAUGCUGUUCUUCUUCAGAUCUAAAUUACCCACGGCUCAAAUAACGAAAAGUUUCGG